UAUAGUGCAGGUGCAUCAGCACAGUUACAUUGAAAACCUACAACCAGUUCACUUACAGGCAGCACGAGCUGUACAGAGAGAGGCUCCACUAAACGAGAAAGUAAAAUAACAACUCCGGUCCAAAUUGGACAGAUUUUGUGAGUUGCUAAACAAACAAGACCAAAUGUAAUGUUUGACACAUGUAGCCUAGCAUCCAACAUUAAGAAUGAUACUGUUCAGUCCAUACAUGAAAUGAAAGUCACACUUAAGUUCCAACACUUGGGAAACAGUGAAGAUUUAAGUUUAGUGGCUUUCAGUGAUGCCUCACUAGGCAAUCUUCAGGAUGGAGGUACACAGGAAGGGGCUUUAAUUGUCCUCAUGGAAAAAACAGUAAAGUGUUCCCCUUUGUUUUGGCAAUCUAAGAAAAUCAAACGUGUGGUAAGAAGCACGCUGGCAGGAGAAACCCUUGCGAUUGUAGCAGCACUACCCAGACGGGUUGAAUGAUAAGUGCUUUAAUUAGAGACAGGUGUGCUAUGGGUGUAGGUGUGCAUAAAAGGAAGGUUUCCAGCAUUGUUUGAGGCUGACGGGUGGUUGCUGCUGUGACUUUGGACGUUGAAUGCCUAAUGUUUUCUUAGUGGAUUUUUUGAGCCGUUUGGGACCAGCAUUUGAUUGUGGACUUGCUGCAUUUUGGUAUACAUGCCAUGUGGAGUUUAUCCAUCACUGGAUGUGUCAGCAGUGCCGACUCUCUAAUAAUCAGCUUAAAGCACUCCGGAGGUAUAUGCCCAUAUGACACUGGGUAGCGGAUUUGGAUGGUGGCCCAGCUUCCCCUUCUUGGUGUUUUAUUAUUAUUUUUCUAAUUUUUUUGUUUAAGUAUCUGCCUAGCGGCUUACUUCUGUGACACCUGGUCCACCCCUUCAUUUGUGCCGUCCGCAUUAAGUGGCCUGUUCCUGGGAAUAACUGUGGGACAGGGUAUUAGUUUUUCUCAGUCGCUUUGGUGCAUUUCUCACAUCACUAUUUACAUUCGCACAACAGUUAGUUCAACCUCCACAACAUUUAGUCAUUUGUGCACGUCAUAGUAGCAGUUUCUCAUUCCUUCGAACAAAUUGCAAAUGCUUUUGGACAUGCAUCAAUUGCUUUCAUACAAUUCUCUGCUGUUUUAUAACAUUAUCAUUUGUUUGUCAUGUCAGUCAAAAUUAACUAUACUUGUGAAUGCUGAAUAGUCAUUCCAUGUAAAACUAAUAGUCCUUAUUUCAUUGCUUCAGUCAUUACAUACAAAAAUUUUCAAGUUUUUUUAAGUCUUUUUUUAUCCGAAAAGUCUCCUAAAUUGAACAAUUUUUGAGAUGAUGUGGCCAGACAGAGGAAUGUCUGGAUGUACAAGAAUGAUUACAGUACUAUGUCUGUUGUAUGUUCAGUUCCAAUAUGUACUGCAAUGUUUUUUUACAGUUGUGCACAGCCAAAGUUUGUUUGUUGUAAAUAAGGAUGUAUUUUUUUCUUUUGCACAAUACUAUGAACAGAUUAGAAUUGCAAAUAGGGAUGGGACGAUUACCGGUUUCACGAUUAACCAUGAUAAAAUGUCCUGACGGUUAGUAUUAUCGUUUAAAAUGUAAUUAUCAUUAUAACCGUGUUUGAUUACCGUGAUUUUGAAAACUCGCGGUAAAUCCUGUCCAGCCAGAAUCAGCUUGACGCAGGCGCUCGCAUGCAACAUUAGCUUUUGUGCGAGAAGGCGUGGCGGAUGCAGUAACAGGUGCACUGUGUUUUAAUGCGUUGCUUAUGUGUGCAUUUGUUUUUAUUUAAGCUACUGUUCAUUAAAACAGGUUCAUACAUUUCAGGGCUCCAUGUUAAUGUUCAUUUAAUGCAGGGGUGUCCAACACAACCAGUCGAUCGCAAAUGCAAUGCCGGUAGAUCGCCUAU